UACAGAACCCCCGAGCGUUAUCCGGAUUUAUUGGGCGUAAAGGGUCCGUAGGUGGUAAAGCAAGUCCAAAGUCAAAUACCUCAGGCUCAACCAGAGGAACCCUUUGGAUACUGCUUAACUAGAGGGCGCUAGGGGCUGAUGGAACGGUCGGUGUAGGGGUGAAAUCCGUUGAUAUCGACCGGAACACCGAAAGCGAAGGCAUUCAGCUGGGGCGACCCUGACACUGAGGGACGAAAGCGUGGGGA
rnacentral:rRNA from 1 species